rnacentral:rRNA from 1 species
CCUACGGGAGGCAGCAGUGGGGAAUCUUGCGCAAUGGCCGAGAGGCUGACGCAGCGACGCCGCGUGGGGGAUGAAGCAUUUCGGUGUGUAAACCCCUGUUGCUCGGGACGAACGACCCUUUUCGAGGGGUGUGACGGUACCGAGUGAGGAAGCACCGGCUAACUCCGUGCCAGCAGCCGCGGUAAUACGGAGGGUGCGAGCGUUGUCCGGAAUCACUGGGCGUAAAGGGCGCGUAGGUGGUUGGAUGCGCCGGUGGUGAAAGCGCAGGGCUCAACCCUGCGUCGGCCAUCGGGACGGUCCGACUGGAGCACUGUAGAGGCAGGUGGAAUUCCGGGUGUAGCGGUGGAAUGCGUAGAGAUCCGGAAGAACACCGGUGGCGAAGGCGGCCUGCUGGGCAGUUGCUGACACUGAGGCGCGACAGCGUGGGGAGCAAACAGGAUUAGAUACCCUGGUAGUCCACGCCGUAAACGAUGGGCACUAGGUGCUUGGGGGAGCGACCCCCUGAGUGCCGACGCUAACGCAUUAAGUGCCCCGCCUGGGGAGUACGACCGCAAGGUUGAAACGUCAAAUUGAAUUGACGG